rnacentral:rRNA from 1 species
UACGAAGGGGGGCUAGCGUUGCUCGGAAUGACUGGGCGUAAAGGGCGCGUAGGCGGAUGGUACAGUCAGAUGUGAAAUUCCCGGGCUUAACCUGGGGGCUGCAUUUGAUACGUGUUGUCUUGAGUUCGGAAGAGGGUCGUGGAAUUCCCAGUGUAGAGGUGAAAUUCGUAGAUAUUGGGAAGAACACCGGUGGCGAAGGCGGCGACCUGGUCCGACACUGACGCUGAGGCGCGAAAGCGUGGGGAGCAAACAGG